UACGAACGUCAUCUUGUGACAGCAUCACCUUUGUUUGGCUAAAGUACAAGAGAACUGCAGCAUGUAAGACUACAUGUACAUCGACUUUGAAUAAUCUACCUGGUAUAUCCUCAAAAAGGCAACUCAAAUACAGAAAGUGCAUAUAAUUUGGAAAAGAGACCAUCAAUCCACUGGGGGCUAUCGCAUGAAAGCAAUGAUUAUAGAAUAUUGUAAGGUUGGAGGAGUUAUAGUACAACA